rnacentral:rRNA from 1 species
UACGGAGGGGGCUAGCGUUGUUCGGAAUUACUGGGCGUAAAGCGCACGUAGGCGGCUUUGUAAGUUAGAGGUGAAAGCCUGGUGCUCAACACCAGAAUUGCCUUUAAGACUGCAUCGCUUGAACGUCGGAGAGGUUGAGUGGAAUUCCGAGUGGUAGAAGGUGAAAUUCGUAGAUAUUCGGAAGAACACCAGUGGCGAAGGCGGCUCACUGGACGACUGUUGACGCUGAGGUGGCGAAAAGCGUUGGGGAGCAAACAGGG